UAUUAGCCUCAGUUCUGUUCAGUCUUUGUGGCAUCCUUAGUCUAUGUUGAGUGUUUAGCUGUGCUUUGUUCCUUGUGGAGUUCUUUGUUUUUGGCUCACCCUGUUACCUUGGAUUAACUUUUUUGUUGUAUUUAUUUCUGAUUCAGCAUUGUUUGGACUCUUUGCCUUGUGCUGUAUGGAAGCCCGUGCAAGUGAGCCAGAGGGCCGCCACAGCAGAGCAGAGCUGAAUGGGCAGAACUCCUAUGGAUGCUGAGCUCAUGCACUUUGCCACAGACAACACAGAAAGGCUUCAUUGUAGAGAGUCAGCUCUUCCUGCUGCUCAGCUGCAACCCCUGUCUCUCUCACAGGCCCUAAAUGCAUGACAAACGCAUGUCUGUCUUUCAGGGCAUUGUUGUUAAUGUGACUAUCACGUUACUGUGUGUCAUGAAUAUAUAUUUUAAGUCUGCA